CUUUGCUAGUUUGCUUUGAUUGCUCAUUCAAGUUGUGAACUUCAGAACUUGUGAUAUGUUCUGCCUAUUACAUUACAUUUUACAUAUAUGAAUGGUGAAUCUGAUAUAUAAUGCUUUGCUUGCUCGGUUGCUCCUUGCUUGUUGGUUGCUGCUGCUAACAUCUUGUCAUCUUCUCUAUGAUGUAUUUAGCUGUUGCACAAUGCAUUGGAGGGAGACGAUCAGAGUAGAACAUACAAAGAGGCAGGGGCAACAUAUUGGAGAGAGAACAAGGUUAUAAACUUAUAAUUGUACCUCCAGUUUACAUUCUAGCACUUUUUUAUGUCAAACUGCUCUUUUUUGCCCAUAUCCGUACAAUUAUAUAGAAAACGCAUAAUUGCGCCUAAUCACGCCUAAUCACGCCUAAGCUAGAAAAGCGCAAGUAGGUGGCCAAACGCAUAAUUAACGCCUAGCGCUUUCUCAAACUUUGUUAAUCAGACACACAAAGUUAAAUUGCAGAGCAGAAAAUAUUAAGGAACUAAAUGGCACAUGCUAGGAAAAUAGGAAGGCACAUCAAGGAGGUAUAUAUCAUAAUUAAUAGGGAGAGUAUUUUUUUCAAAGUAGAGAGAGGGGUCCUUCAUUACAAUUGUUCAUUCAAUUCUUGGAUCGUUUGAGCAAACAAAUCUGAUGAAACAAUACAAUAAUAUUAACAUGUAUACUCACAUUAUAUCCUCUUAUGAACAUUUACUCGGACAUUAACUCUCAUGAUUAUUUGAGUAAACAUAUAUAACAUCAGCGACCAAAGAGACGUGCACCUUAUAGAAUGCAUGUCGUGUAGGCAAACAAACCAAACAGAUACAUUACUUAUACUUAGGACAGUAAAUUUGCGUGCUUUGGUCGUCACUGAUUCCAUACAUAUAAAUCAAAAAAGGAAUAAUGCCACUGUUUGACGUUUGGUAUGAAAGGUGAACAGGGAAGCAUUCUCUUCAGGUAACCGGUGGUCUAACUGAACAAUUUUACGAAGUGGGGAAUUGAGGAACCAAUCCUUUGGUUCAGAAUCAUCUCUUACUAUUUUAGUCAAGGCACAUAGAGAACUAAAAUGCAGCUAUCAUUAAAUUCCCCACCAGCCACAAUGGCAACUACAGUUGGCCGUCUAUAUGAACCAGUUAUAAUCACUAAAAUAUCAUGGAUCCACAACAAACCAAGAAAGAGAUACCUCCAAAUGGAGGAGGCAAUCUCAACAAGACAGUUCGAAGGAAAUAACACAUCAAUACUACUAAGAAAACGAAGAUUGGUAGCUGCAGUGCAUGUAUUACAGUAGUACAUUGAGCACCUGAGACAGUAGCCGAAUCCGAAGGAGAAGUAGCCACACACCCAGCAACGACCCUGGCACCAAACUCUAACCUGGCAGUACUAUAAAACACAUUGACACUCAAUUCACAGCACAUAAAUAAUUAAUACAUAGUCACAAGUCAAAGAUAUAUUUCAAUGUUACCAAAGCCAUUUUCAGAAGCAAAUACCAGCACUUUAAGUAUACUGGAACAAAAAUAAACCAAAACUAAAAAAACUACUAACUAAUGUGGUCGAAAAACACCGGAUACUGAUCUAUGAAAUGUACCAACCUUAUUUUACUAAAUCUUCCACUACCAGAUGUGAUGUUAAAUAUCAAUUGAUAAUUACUAAUUUGUAUCUGCAAAGUAUCAUGAUAAAAAUGAAAUACCAGAUCAGUUAGAGAACACAAUUAUGCAAAAUACUGAUAAGAAAUCUGUAAAUAUUUGUGAUCGGUGUAUUUUUAAAAUAAAGCAAAUGCACCAUCUUAUCUUUCUUAUGUAGGUCAUGCCAGUUUUAAGCGAACUCUUUGACAUUUUCCAUAUAAAAAAAUGUAAGUGCAACCUUUCUAUACGACUGGCCAAUGUAAAAAGCGGUCAAUAAUCAAGAAGUAAUGAAACAUCGGUCAUUUCAGUUCACAACCAUAUGGCAUGGCACUAAUAGAAAUGGAGAUAGGUAACUGUUUCAAUGCCACCAUACCUUCAGAUUUCGGAGUUAUAGGGAACAUCCUACAGGGAUAAAUAUAGCCUCAUAAAAAGAACAUCCAGUCUUUACUUAGGGUAGAUUAAUCCCCAUUUGUAUUGUUAAUUGCAUGUAUUCUUCCUUUGUCUUCCUCUUGUGCUCAUUCACAGAUAAGCGCAUUGAUCAUGUAGAAUUUGUAAUGAUGUGCAACCUGCCAGCAUGCAACAAUUAUAUCAGCAUUAGAAAGUCAGGGGCAUUGGCAAACAACAAAUAGGUUAGGGAGAAAAAAGUUGACACGCAAAUUUUCAGUGCAAAAAGAAAUUGAUCCAACCAUGACUUCUACUGGUAAUGCUAAUAUAAAAUCUGAUAUAGCAGAAAGUAGUUUUAGCCUAGAAAGACAAGAUAGAUCAUAGUAGAAAUAUUUAAAAGCGGCAAAUCCACCUAUUAUAAUGCUCAGACCUAAGCUAAAUAGGACUAAAAUCUGGCUCCUAUUAUAAUGCUCAACCUAACCUGAAUAAACUAUAACUCACUCACUAAAUUGCACACAUAUACAACAAUCAUACAAUGCAUGCACCACAGGCAGAGCUCAGAUUAUAUAAACGACUGCAUCAUACUGACAGCACACUACUCUAGCUACACUCCAAUGAAUAUUUUUUUACAAAUCAUAUCUGCAAUGACAUUGGCUUGUUUGAUAUCCCCAACAGCACCACACGUGCAAGCAGUACCAACAAACACAUCAAUAGGUUGCUUCUAGGACAUAGCUAAAGGUACAAAAAAUCAGAGAAGGAACAAAAAUCACAUUUGUAUUCCAGAAAAAAAACAAGCAAGGAAGAAAAGGAGGCCACAAAAAUACAAGCAAGGAAUAAUACUCUUGGACUCUAUCUAGUCUUCCGACAAUAAGAGUACAAGAAACAGGCACACCCAUUGACCAGCCUGCACACCAACAGGAACAACAAGCAGACAUAGACUGAGUACAACAGCAGCUCCAGACAGGCAAGCUAGGCAAACCACAUGGCCGCAAAAACAUAUGCCUAGGCCUAGAAAGCAGAGAAGAAGAGGAGAAAGGGGCAGUGAUUACGAGUCGAACGGCUAGUCUAGACUAGUCGCUCGACUAGUCUACGAGUCGCAGAGUGGAUGUCGACUCAUUUUCUCGUGUAGACUACAAAUACGAGUCGAGCCGUGGAUGGACUAGUCGACGACUAGUCUGGACUAGUCGACAUAUAUGAGUCGAGCGACUCAAAAAAGAGAGCUGCCUCAGCUGGGACGAGGCGCCGCCAGCACCCACUGCCCUGCCGCCGCCGCCACCCACCGCAGGGACGGCGGAUGGCGCAGCCAGGUGCGGCGGCCGGCCGGAGCUCGUGCUCAGGCGGCGGCCAUGGCCGUGACCCGUAGGGGCACGCGGCCUUGAGACGGGAGAGAAGGAAGAGAGAGAGAGAGGAGAGGAAAGGAGGAGCCAUGGCGGUGGUCGGCGGGCUCGCCGGCGGCAGCGGCCGGGACCGGCGGAAGGCGGCAGGAGGCGCGGGUCGCGUGCGCGCAUGCUCUCGUGCGUGAUGGCGCUGGCGGCGGCGAUUGGAGAGGUCGGGAGCUAGGGUUCCAGUGGCUGGGGGCUAAGUAGGCUGGCCAUUUGGGCCCAAAUGGGCCAGCUGGGGGGUGAUGCAUGGUGCUGGGCUAGUAUUUAGACAGUGGCUGGUCCUAUUCCAUACCCACUUGGGCCCAGAACACUGCAUAGCUCAAUGAUUUAGACAGUGGCUGGUUUUAUUGCAUACUGUACUGUUAGUAACUUAGUAUAUACUACAUACUACCACUAGGUAUUAGUAGCUGAGUACUACAGUACCAUGUCGACUAGUCUAGCACUAGUCUAGACUAGUCUCGAUUAGUCUAUGAGUCUCUACCUCGAAACGACUCGUCGACUUGUCGACUCGUAAACCUUGGAAAGGGGUCGACCUGCAAAGCACCGGACGAAGACCCAACAGACUGGCACAGAUCGAACGACGAACCGACAAGAACAGCGAGCACGUGCGAACGAUGGACGAACCUGCAAGAAAACAAAACUCAAAAUUACAGAUGAGCUGCAGGUAACCAGAAUUUAGACGGACAAAACAAACAAGUACCUACAGAAGAACACAUCAACAUAUCUGGCAAGAUCCCAAAAUCGGCGGCUGGCCGUGCAACUGCAACUGGGGAGGCAAAUAGCAAUAACGGAAGUUACUUCGAGUUUGUUCCUUCAGAUUAGUGUUAAAGUAUGUCAAGAUUUAACUGACGCAAAGUAAAAUUGUCAAUGAAGGUAAAAGUGGCUGAAUGAAUGAAAGUAGCUAGGUUUUGCAAGCAUAAAGUUCCUUGCCAGGAAAUUAAACCCACAAUACUUGGAUAUUUGUUGGCACUUAUCGAAUAUUAACAGAAGUUCCUCACAGAGAUACUACAAUAGUAAUCCUAGAACAGUUUCUGCCAAAUAAAUUCUAAACCUCAGCUAGCAACAUAUUUGUGAAGCGCAACUGAAAGCUUGUUUAGAAAAAUAAAUCUAUAGCAAUAUAAAAAGACCCAAAGGGGCAGAUCCAAUUAAUCUCGGCCAUCAAAUCAUGUCAAUCCAACGACCUAGACUGCUUCAAUGUCGAGCGCUCAACACGUUUAGCGUGUAAUUAAUUUCAUGCCAAAUAUAAUAACACGCAAAUAAUAUCCUACUUAAUAUCCGCAUCCACUUGAUAUACUUCCAAAUUAAUGUGCAUUGCACGUACACAUUGACUAGUUUUUUAAAUAUGCGAUUAUCCCUUUUAAAGAUGAACUAAAUUAAUUUUUGAAUUAAGUACGCAAUCUAGUCCCUAGAAGAAUCAACUCGUAGGUGUGCAAUUCAAAUUUACUACACGUCCACUUUAUAAUCCAAGCACAGAAAAAAUCAAAGCAUGGUAAUAAAUGAAAGGAAGUACUAUCUCACAGACUGCAUUUUUACAAACCUAUAAUAACAAGGCAUGCAAAAUACUAAUGAAACAGUCAAUUUGGGUGGUGGCUACAAAACAUAAAAUAAGCUUCUUCAUUUCUAGAGGAAAAUAUAUAAAUCAACAAUCAGAUGGAGCAAGGCUGGCCUUUUCAAAGUUGCACUCUAGCCACAUAAUACUAAUACAGUCUAGGGGCGUUUGUUUUUGAUAAUCUACUAAUCUUUAGGAUAAGAAUGACAUUCUUUGCCCCAUGAGCAUCAGCGACAACAAAGCGGCGUCGCAUGAUGAAGCGGAUGCCGGCACAGGAAGAAGCUCAUGUAGGAUCUACAAGCCUACAAGGACUCAGACGAAGCGAGGCAUUGGCCUUCCGCUCCUCCAAGUUCUUCCAGCAUGAGGGAAGCUCCUGCCUGGUUCUAAGCAUGGUGAUUUCUCUAUAAUGCAGUUAGAUCAGACGAUCUCAGAGGAUGCAUUUUCCACGACAGUAAAUAGGAUCUGAAGAUUGGCCUCACUGGAAAAGUGAGUAUAAUGAGAUUCAUUGUCAUCAUAAAUUUGUAGAUAAAACAGGAUGCUACCGAUAAUAUUAAGCAAGUCAUGUACCAACUCCAGAGGACCACAACCAAUGUCUGCUUCAAGUUCCUUUAACCCUUCCUUCCUUAGCUAGAGCACAAGGAAGAACACAAAAUCAGAUCGUGAGAACUACAAAAAUGUAAGUCAUUGAUCCUAAGCACUCACCAAAGCUAGCCAGAUCCUCCCAUGGCAACCAACCUGGCACUCCACAGUAGAACCUCACCUCUGGCAUCGUCCACUCCUCGUAUGUGUUCCUCGUUACACCUGCAUGACAUUGGGCUAGCUGUAGCUGGUGAC
rnacentral:lncRNA from 1 species